rfam:Perkinsus marinus ATCC 50983 gcontig_1104296598120, whole genome shotgun sequence.
GCCCGAUGAGUUCAGCUGGAUAGAAUGUCUGCCUACGGAGCAGAUGGUCGUAGGUUCGGAUCCUGCAUCGGGUA